rnacentral:rRNA from 1 species
UGAACGCUGGCGGAAUGCUUUACACAUGCAAGUCGAACGGCAGCACGGGGGCAACCCUGGUGGCGAGUGGCGAACGGGUGAGUAAUGUAUCGGAACGUACCCAGUCGUGGGGGAUAACUAUCCGAAAGGAUAGCUAAUACCGCAUACGUCCUGAGGGAGAAAGCGGGGGACCUGCAAGGGCCUCGCGCGAUUGGAGCGGCCGAUAUCGGAUUAGCUAGUUGGUGAGGUAAAGGCUCACCAAGGCGACGAUCCGUAGCGGGUCUGAGAGGACGACCCGCCACACUGGAACUGAGACACGGUCCAGACUCCUACGGGAGGCAGCAGUGGGGAAUUUUGGACAAUGGGGGAAACCCUGAUCCAGCCAUUCCGCGUGAGUGAAGAAGGCCUCGGUUGUAAGCUCUUCUAGCAGGACGAACGGUACGGCGUUUAAUAAAGUACGGCGUAAUGACGGUACCGUCGCAGAAGAAGACACCGGCGUAACUACGUGCCACGCAGC